rnacentral:tRNA from 2 species
UGGGGCGUGGUGAAACGGUAUCACGAGCGGCUCUGACCCGCUUAUUCCUGGUUCGAAUCCAGGCGCCCCAGCCA